GUGCCAGCCGCCGCGGUAAUACGUAGGGGGCGAGCGUUGUCCGAAGUUACUGGGCGUAAAGCGCGCGUAGGCGGACUUUUAAGUCGGUGGUGAAAUUCCAAGGCUCAACCUUGGAACUGCCUCCGAAACUGGAGGUCUUGAGGUAUGGAGAGGGAAGUGGAAUUCCUGGUGUAGCGGUGAAAUGCGUAGAUAUCAGGAGGAACACCCGUGGCGAAGGCGGCUUCCUGGCCAUAUCCUGACGCUGAGGUGCGAAAGCCAGGGGAGCGAACGGGAUUAGAUACCCCGGUAGUCCUGGUCGUAAACGAUGGAUACUAGGUGUUAGAGGUAUCGACCCCUCUAGUGCCGCAGCUAACGCAAUAAGUAUCCCGCCUGGGGAGUACGGCCGCAAGGUUGAAACUCAAAGAAAUUGACGG
rnacentral:rRNA from 1 species